rnacentral:rRNA from 1 species
AGAUUAAGCAAAGAAGAGCGCAGGGUGGAUGCCUUGGCACUAAGAGCCGAAGAAAGACGUGAUAAGCUGCGAAAAGCUGCGGGGAGAUGCAAAUAAUCCUUGAUCCGCAGAUGUCUGAAUGGGGAAACCCGGUACGAAGAACUCGUAUCAUCCAUACGCCAAUCCAUAACGUAUGGAGGGGAACCCGGUGAACUGAAACAUCUAAGUAGCCGGAGGAAGAGAAAGAAACAUCGAUUUUGUUAGUAGCGGCGAGCGAAAGCGAAAGAGGCCAAACCGGAGUGCGUGCACUCCGGGGUUCGGACCGCAUUUAAGAUUCAGUAAUUCUAGCAGAAAGGUUUGGGAAAGCCUGCCGGAGAGGGUGAAAGCCCCGUAAGCGAAAGGAGAGCUGACUGAGCGGAAUCCAGAGUACAUCGAGACACGAGAAACCUUGAUGGAAAGAGCGGGGACCACCCCGUAAGCCUAAAUACUACUUAGUGACCGAUAGCGCAUAGUACUGUGAAGGAAAGGUGAAAAGGACCCCGGGAGGGGAGUGAAAGAGAACCUGAAACCCUGUGUUUACAAGCUGUGGAAGUUCUUUAAAUGAACAACCGCGUACUUUUUGUAGAACGGUCCGGCGAGUUGCGGAUACUGGCAAGGUUAAGCACUUAAGGUGCGGAGCCGAAGGGAUACCAAGUCUUAACAGGGCGUUAAGUCAGUGUACGCAGACCCGAAACCGGGUGAUCUAUCCAUGUCCAGGUUGAAGUUGUCGUAAAAGACAAUGGAGGACCGAAGCCACAUCCGUUGAAAAGGGUGGGCAUGAGGUGUGGAUAGGGGAGAAAUUCCAAUCGAACCCGGAGAUAGCUGGUUCUCCUCGAAAUAGCUUUAGGGCUAGCCUCGAUUUAGUCUUAUGGAGGUAGAGCACUGAAUUUCCGCGGGGGCGUCAAAGCUUACCAAAGAAUAUCAAACUCCGAAUGCCAUGUAGAUGAUGAUCGGGAGUCAGACUGCACGAGAUAAGUUGGGCAGUCAAAAGGGAAAGAGCCCAGACCACCGGCUAAGGUCCCAAAGUGCGUGUUAAGUGGAAAAGGAUGUGGGAAUUCGAAGACAACUAGGAUGUUGGCUCAGAAGCAGCCAUACAUUCAAAGAGUGCGUAACAGCUCACUAGUCGAGAGUUCCUGCGCCGAAAAUGUCCGGGGCUGAAACACGACACCGAAGCCGUGGACUCGCAAUGCGAGUGGUAGAGGAGCAUUCUUAAAACCGACGAAGCUGUACCGGAAGGAGCAGUGGAGGGAUAAGAAGAGAGAAUGCCGGAAUGAGUAGCGAGAGAAAGGUGGGAAUCCUUUCGGCCGAAUAUCUAAGGUUUCCAGAGUAAAGCUGAUCUGCUCU